GACGAACGCUGGCGGCGUGCCUAAUACAUGCAAGUAGAACGCUGAAGCUUGGUGCUUGCACCGAGCGGAUGAGUUGCGAACGGGUGAGUAACGCGUAGGUAACCUGCCUGGUAGCGGGGGAUAACUAUUGGAAACGAUAGCUAAUACCGCAUAAGAGUAGAUGUUGCAUGACAUUUGCUUAAAAGGUGCAAUUGCAUCACUACCAGAUGGACCUGCGUUGUAUUAGCUAGUUGGUGAGGUAACGGCUCACCAAGGCAACGAUACAUAGCCGACCUGAGAGGGUGAUAGGCCACACUGGGACUGAGACACGGCCCAGACUCCUACGGGAGGCAGCAGUAGGGAAUCUUCGGCAAUGGACGGAAGUCUGACCGAGCAACGCCGCGUGAGUGAAGAAGGUUGUCGGAUCGUAAAGCUCUGUUGUAAGAGAAGAACGAGUGUGAGAGUGGAAAGUUCACACUGUGACGGUAUCUUACCAGAAAGGGACGGCUAACUACGUG
rnacentral:rRNA from 1 species